CAUAUCAUCGGACAGAUGCAGAAAAUAUAACUCAUCAUGAACCGUACAGACCGUAUGCCGUAUGAGGAAAUCUCACAAAUAAUUCUUGUUGCAGACAAAAUUAAGCCAUUUUAAGCUGGGCAAAGUAUGGAUUGCUCCUCUACAGGAAUGGAAAGAGGUAUUUGAAGCACGUUUAAUAAUUGAAAUGUCGGAUGUACAUUGUGAUGUCACUAAUGCAAGAAUGAUCUCUACGAAAGUAAAACUGGUCAUCGAUGUCCAUUAUUUCACCUGGUGGCAGAUUUGAUACUGGUUAGCUAAUAACAAAAUAUCCGACUGCAGCUCUUCAUUAACACAGAAAGGUCAUAAGAAAAAGAUAGUCAAAGAAAAUCUUAACAACCGUUAAAGUGCGCUAGGAAUCAUCCUGUAUUUAGUUCACUCCAGUGAUUCAGUUAUCUUCCUGAGAGUGACUCAAUCAAAACUUGAUGAUAAAGCAGCUAUUUUUAAGAGAAAAUUGUGUAAGACGAAGAAUGAAACGUUUUAUGCAGUCGAAUAGUCAGGUGUAAAAAUAGAGAAAAACCAGUUAAACUACCACUGCAAUAUCACUAAUGUGACCAUCAUUUCAACGAGUUGCCUGUUGCUGAUGGUUUAUGGCUGGAUAAAAAAUAAGCUAAAAAUAAUAAGGUUAGCAAGAUCACAACUGCAGGUUGCAACUUUAUGUAAAUGUUAAAACAUGUCUUGACAGGCUCUUCCUUAUAAAAUGACCGAUUUCUGUUUCCGGGUGAAUCUCGAUAUAACUGAAGUCAGAGAGACAGCCAACCGGUGCCCAAUUAUUUUAUUAAUGAUAUGCAUGGUUCUGUAUAAACUAAACUACUUUUAAAAAGAAAACCUCUGGAAAACUUCAUGCUACUCGUAGUUUUGACUGCUGAAAGUAACUGGGUCAUUAUUUAUCAGCAAUCGACGAAAUGGAAGAGGCUCAUCAGUCAAACUUGGAUUUGGAAAAGCUCGAAUGUCUUAUUCAAUGGAUGGAAAAUGGAUUGCCGGAUGACCCUCAGCCUACCCAGUUUCAGCUAAAAUGGUGUAAAGGGAUGUAAAAAGUCCUUCAGAUUUCUUUUUCCGCAUAAAAACGAAAAGUUUAACAUACUAUGUACUUCCAUGAACUAA